rnacentral:rRNA from 1 species
GAUGAACGCUGGCGGCGUGCCUAAUACAUGCCAGUCGAGCGAACGGACGAGAAGCUUGCUUUUCUGAUGUUAGCGGCGGACGGGUGAGUAACACGUGGAUAACCUACCUAUAAGACUGGGAUAACUUCGGGAAACCGGAGCUAAUACCGGAUAAUAUUUUGAACCGCAUGGUUCAAAAGUGAAAGACGGUCUUGCUGUCACUUAUAGAUGGAUCCGCGCUGCAUUAGCUAGUUGGUAAGGUAACGGCUUACCAAGGCAACGAUGCAUAGCCGACCUGAGAGGGUGAUCAGCCACACUGGAACUGAGACACGGUCCAGACUCCUACGGGAGGCAGCAGUAGGGAAUCUUCCGCAAUGGGCGAAAGCCUGACGGAGCAACGCCGCGUGAGUGAUGAAGGUCUUCGGAUCGUAAAACUCUGUUAUUAGGGAAGAACAGAUGUGUAAGUAACUGUGCACAUCUUGACGGUACCUAAUCAGAAAGCCACGGCUAACUACGUG